rnacentral:rRNA from 1 species
GACGGAGGAUGCAAGUGUUAUCCGGAAUCACUGGGCGUAAAGCGUCUGUAGGUGGUCAAAUUAAGUCAACUGUUAAAUACUUGAGGCUCAACCUCAAAACCGCUAGUCGAAACUAUUAGACUAGAGUAUAGUAGGGGUAAAGGGAAGUUUCCAGUUGGAGCGGUGAAAUGACGUAGAGAUUGGAAAGAACACCGGAUGGCGAAGGCACUUUACUGGGCUACUGGACUAACACUCAGAGACGAAAGCUAGGGGUAGCAAAUGGG